GCUUGCUUGUUGGGGUUGUAGGACACUCUAUACGGAGUUACAAAGGACGACAUUAGACGAAUCAUCUGGAAAGAUGAAUCAAAGAAGGUAAUAAUCCUGUAGUCGAAAAUGUUGUCUCUCUUGAGUGGAUCCUGAGUACGACGGAGCACGUGAAAUUCCGUCGGAAUCUGGGAGGACCAUCUCCUAAGGCUAAAUACUCUCUAGUGACCGAUAGUGAACCAGUACCGUGAGGGAAAGGUGAAAAGCACCCCGGAAGGGGAGUGAAAUAGAACCUGAAACCGUGUGCUUACAAGUAGUCAGAGCCCGUUAAUGGGUGAUGGCGUGCCUUUUGUAGAAUGAACCGGCGAGUUACGAUUUGAUGCAAGGUUAAGCAGUAAAUGUGGAGCCGUAGCGAAAGCGAGUCUGAAUAGGGCGUUUAGUAUUUGGUCGUAGACCCGAAACCAGGUGAUCUACCCUUGGUCAGGUUGAAGUUCAGGUAACACUGAAUGGAGGACCGAACCGACUUACGUUGAAAAGUGAGCGGAUGAACUGAGGGUAGCGGAGAAAUUCCAAUCGAACCUGGAGAUAGCUGGUUCUCUCCGAAAUAGCUUUAGGGCUAGCCUCAAGUGAUGAUUAUUGGAGGUAGAGCACUGUUUGGACGAGGGGCCCCUCUCGGGUUACCGAAUUCAGACAAACUCCGAAUGCCAAUUAAUUUAACUUGGGAGUCAGAACAUGGGUGAUAAGGUCCGUGUUCGAAAGGGAAACAGCCCAGACCACCAGCUAAGGUCCCAAAAUAUAUGUUAAGUGGAAAAGGAUGUGGCGUUGCCCAGA
rnacentral:rRNA from 1 species